GAUUCCAAUAGGGCUGCCGUCCUUAUCAGAAGAGGCGGAGAGACACAGAGGCAGGUCCACGUGAGGAAGACCAUGGAAGAUGCACAAGUAAAACAUCAUGUGCUGAUGGAGACAGAGAAUGGAGUAAGGUGUCUACAAGUGAAGGGAUGUGGUGAUUAUCAGCACGCCUAGAAGCCAAGAGAAAGGCGGAUUCUUUACCAGCUGAACCACAAGGGAGACCUUCAGUGUUUUUGCUCCUUCAACAAGCCGUGCUCACUGUGCUCCUGAGAUGUCACACACUGCUGUUCCCUCUGCUGGGAAUACCCUGGUCCCUUGGUUGACUUCCAUCCAUUCCUUAGAGACCUACUGAGAAACCACUUCCUCAGAGAAAUCUCUUCAAGGUACCUGAUAGUAAUGUCAUACCUUUAUUCUCCUCCAUGCUCUUUCUUCACGGACUAAUACAAGGGCACACCUUCAGAAUAUAAAGUGCUUGCUUUUUUAAAAUUCAUAUAAUGGAUUCGAUGUAAGUGCUAAGUACCCGUGGGACUCACCAUCCAUGGAUAUGUCUGUGCCCUCAGCCCCAGCAUCCUCAGUAUCAAUUAUUUUCACAUACCUUCUUUUCCUAACCAUCUCUCCUCUCAACCCAGCUCUACAUUUCCAAUCGAUUCUAAGGUAAAAUGAAUCACCCAAGCCCAAAAGAUCUGAAAGAACUGAGAACUGGGGAAGGAAUCAAGGUAUGAAAAGACAAGGAAAGAGAGACAUGGAAGCAGAAAAACCAUGAUAGACAGCGGCAUAUUGGGAAUGACACCACUUGCCAGCUGGCUUAGAAAAUGCUACUCUUACAUUUAUUCAAUUAUUCAUCAAUCAUUUACCACAUUUAACAAAUCAAUGAAUGGAUUGGUUCCUCUUAUGUAUAUUUGUAUUUGUAGUCCUUGCGGACACCUCUCUUCUCUCCAGGGGCUUCUGUUGUCGUUGUUUUUAUUCAGGCCAUCUUUGGAGGGGGUUGUUUGUUUGAUAAACCUGAUUUAAUUUGUACUAUAAUAUUCUGAUGGAGCCAAGGAAUAAAGUGAUCUGUUCUAUUA